rnacentral:lncRNA from 1 species
GUAGUUUUUGCCAAAAAAAAAAAAAAAAGUCUAAGCACUAAGAUCAAGUGAAGAGGAGUGUGGACAAGGCAGACUCGUAAGAAAUACUUGGAUUAAAGUCAUUACAGGAAGAAGUAAGGGGAAUAGACAAGGCAGAAGGAUAUAGCAAUGUUUUCUUCUCUCUUAUCCUAUUCUUUGAGCAUUCUGCUCUCAGUGCUAUUUCCAACCAUUUUUUGAAUAAUUUCUAAAUGCUGUAACAUUAAAUGUAGCCUCCUUCUUUCUCAGUUCCGUUGCAAGACACUUUUUCUUAAAUAUAUAAUCUUUUGGGAAAAUAUAUGACACAUUUUAGCAAUUUGAUCUUUCUUGUAUGAUUUAUAGACUCUUUUGUACAGUUUUCUAAUAUUUUUGACCAUCUGUGCUAUUAUCUCUACUGCUUUGAUACUUGCUAUAGUUCAUUUUUAAAAACAAUAGGUAGAGGAUAAAUAUUCAGUGCAGUAUUUCAAUUGGAAGAUCCCCCUGGCUUUUGGUUAUUUCAUUUCACAGUGAAUAACACUGUUGACAGUAUUUGAGGAAGAAACAUAAGAGAGGUAAAAGGAAUUUUCUUUUCGUAAUAAGAAUAAAAUGGGAGUACCUGACAUGGCUCAGUAGAAAUGAAUCCAACUAGGAACCAUGAGGUUGUAGGUUCCAUCCCUGGCCUCGUUCAGUGCGUUAAGGAUUCGGCAUUUCCAUGAGCUGUGGUGUAGGUCCCAGACAGGGCUUGGAUCUGAUGUUGCUGUGGCUGUGGUAUAGGCAGGCAGCUGCAGCUCCAAUUGGACCCCUAGCCUGGUAACCUCCAUAUGCCUCAGGUGCAGCCCUAAAAAGCAAAAAGCAAAAAAAAAAACGCGGAUUCUAGGGAAAAUUAAUCUCUAAUGUAAUUUUAAAAAGAAUUAACUAUUCAUUUUUAUUUAAGCUGACCCUUGAUCAUGUAAAUACAUACUAUUUCAGAGCUUUUGAUAUUCUGCAAACUUUGGCCUGGAAUUUCCAAAAAUGGUCUCCAAACACGUUCUUGAAAUGUGUAUAUGCAGCCCCAGAUAGACAUGCAACUUACCUGACUUUCUAAUGCUUUUUUUUUUGGCCAUGCCCUCAGCAUGCAGAAGUUCCCGGGCUAGGAAC